rnacentral:rRNA from 1 species
CCUACGGGGGGCAGCAGUGGGGAAUAUUGCACAAUGGGCGCAAGCCUGAUGCAGCCAUGCCGCGUGUGUGAAGAAGGCCUUCGGGUUGUAAAGCACUUCCAGCGGGGAGGAAGGCGGUGAGGUUAAUAACCUCAUCGAUUGACGUUACCCGCAGAAGAAGCACCGGCUAACUCCGUGCCAGCAGCCGCGGUAAUACGGAGGGUGCAAGCGUUAAUCGGAAUUACUGGGCGUAAAGCGCACGCAGGCGGUCUGUCAAGUCGGAUGUGAAAUCCCCGGGCUCAACCUGGGAACUGCAUUCGAAACUGGCAGGCUAGAGUCUUGUAGAGGGGGGUAGAAUUCCAGGUGUAGCGGUGAAAUGCGUAGAGAUCUGGAGGAAUGCCGGUGGCGAAGGCGGCCCCCUGGACAAAGACUGACGCUCAGGUGCGAAAGCGUGGGGAGCAAACAGGAUUAGAUACCCGAGUAGUC